GUACACUCCUGCGGGAGGCAGCAGUGGGGAAUAUUGCACAAUGGGCGCAAGCCUGAUGCAGCGACGCCGCGUGGGGGAUGAAGGCCUUCGGGUUGUAAACUCCUUUCGCUAGGGACGAAGCUUUUUUGUGACGGUACCUAGAUAAGAAGCACCGGCUAACUACGUGCCAGCAGCCGCGGUAAUACGUAGGGUGCGAGCGUUGUCCGGAAUUACUGGGCGUAAAGGGCUCGUAGGUGGUUUGUCGCGUCGUCUGUGAAAUUCUGGGGCUUAACUCCGGGCGUGCAGGCGAUACGGGCAUAACUUGAGUGCUGUAGGGGUAACUGGAAUUCCUGGUGUAGCGGUGAAAUGCGCAGAUAUCAGGAGGAACACCGAUGGCGAAGGCAGGUUACUGGGCAGUUACUGACGCUGAGGAGCGAAAGCAUGGGUAGCGAACAGGAUUAGAAACCCCUGUAGUCCCAUGA
rnacentral:rRNA from 1 species